UACGGAGGGUGCAAACGUUGCUCGGAAUCAUUGGGCGUAAAGCGCACGUAGGCGGUCUGUUAAGUCGGAUGUGAAAGCCCCGGGCUCAACCCGGGAAGUGCAUACGAAACUGGCGGACUUGAAUAUGGAAGAGGGUCGCGGAAUUCCCGGUGUAGAGGUGAAAUUCGUAGAUAUCGGGAGGAACACCAGUGGCGAAGGCGGCGACCUGGGCCAAGAUUGACGCUAAUGUGCGAAAGCGUGGGGAGCAAACAGG
rnacentral:rRNA from 1 species